UACAGAGGGGGCAAGCGUUGUUCGGAAUUACUGGGCGUAAAGGGCGCGUAGGCGGCCUGUUAAGUCGAACGUGAAAUCCCCGGGCUCAACCCGGGAACUGCGUCCGAAACUGGCAGGCUCGAAUUCGGGAGAGGGAUGCGGAAUUCCAGGUGUAGCGGUGAAAUGCGUAGAUAUCUGGAGGAACAUCGGUGGCGAAGGCGGCAUCCUGGACCGAUAUUGACGCUGAGGCGCGAAAGCCAGGGGAGCAAAGCGG
rnacentral:rRNA from 1 species